rnacentral:rRNA from 1 species
UACGUAGGUGGCGAGCGUUGUCCGGAUUUAUUGGGUUUAAAGGGUGCGUAGGCGGCCAGAUAAGUCAGUGCUGAAAUAUCCCGGCUUAACCGGGAGGGUGGCAUUGAUACUGUAUGGCUUGAGUAAAGUUGAGGUUGGCGGAAUUGACGGUGUAGCGGUGAAAUGCUUAGAUAUCGCCAAGAACACCUAUAGUGAAGACAGCUAACUAAGCUUUAACUGACGCUGAGGCACGAAAGUGUCGGGAUCAAACAGG